GUAGGUGGCAAGCGUUGUCCGGGAAUUAUUGGGGCGUAAAGCGCGCGCAGGCGGUUCUUUAAGUCUGAUGUGAAAGCCCACGGGCUCAACCGUGGAGGGUCAUUGGAAACUGGAGAACUUGAGUACAGAAGAGGAAAGCGGAAUUCCACGCGUAGCGGUGAAAUGCGUAGAGAUGUGGAGGAACACCAGUGGCGAAGGCGGCUUUCUGGUCUGUAACUGACGCUGAGGCGCGAAAGCGUGGGGAGCAAACAGGAUUAGAUACCCUGGUAGUCCACGCCGUAAACGAUGAGUGCUAAGUGUUAGGGGGUUUCCGCCCCUUGGUGCUGCAGCUAACGCAUUAAGCACUCCGCCUGGGGAGUACGGCCGCAAAGGCUGA
rnacentral:rRNA from 1 species